rnacentral:lncRNA from 1 species
AAAUUCCAUCUAAUUCUUCAAGGUCCAGAUUACCUGCAACCAUAAAUUUAGGAACUAAAGAUAACACAGCAAUAGAAAACUAGUACACCGGAGGAGGAGCCAAGAUGGCCGAAUAGGAACAGCUCCGGUCAACAGCUCCCAGCGUGAGCGACGCAGAAGACGGGUGAUUUCUGCAUUUCCAUCUGAGAUCCAUGCAUCAAGAAGAGCUACAUCCAAGGAAACUCAUCCAUGCCUGGACUUAAUUUAUAUAAUGAAAUUCUGAACUUUCAAUAGAUGCUGUAAUAGGAUGAGAGUUUUGGAGAUCUUGGGAGGGAAUGAAUGUGUUUUGCAUGGGGAAGGGACAUGAAUCACUGAAGCCCAGAUGAUGGACAAUGGCUGACAGACUCUAAAAAUGGCCCCAUGAUCUCCACCUCCUGGUAUCCAUACCUCUACAAUCCCUUCCCCUUAUUCAAUAGAGUACAAAAGAAGGAUAGGAUUUCACUUCUGUUAUUACAUUACAUACAACUGUAGUACCUGUCUUGCUGGAAGACUUCCCCUUUCCUGGCUUUAAAGAAAAAAGUUACAAAUUGUGAACAGCUGUCCCCUGUAGAAGCCAUGUUACAAUGAACUGAGGAAAGCCACCGGCCAACAUCCAGCAAGAAUCUGAGGCCCUCAGUCCGCAUUCCUCAAGAAACUGAAUGCUGCUGACAAAAAUACAAGAGGAAGUGGAUCCAUCCCCAAUCAAGCCUCCAGAAAAGAACACGGUCUUGGCCAAAACCUUGAUGGUAACCUUGGAGAAGACUCAGCUAAGCUGUGCCUGGAUUUCUGACUCACUGAAACUGUGGGAUAAUAAAUGUGUGUUAUUUUCAGCCAAUAAAUUUGCAGUAAUGUUAUUAUGCAG